AACUUUCAACAACGGAUCUCUUGGUUCUGGCAUCGAUGAAGAACGCAGCGAAAUGCGAUAAGUAAUGUGAAUUGCAGAACUCAGUGAAUCAUCGAAUUUUUGAACGCACAUUGCGCCCGUUAGUAUUCUAGCGGGCAUGCCUGUUCGAGCGUCAU
rnacentral:rRNA from 1 species